rnacentral:rRNA from 1 species
CAGCAGCCACGGGAAUACAGAGGGUGCGAGCGUUAAUCGGAUUUACUGGGCGUAAAGCGUGCGUAGGCGGCUUUUUAAGUCGGAUGUGAAAUCCCUGAGCUUAACUUAGGAAUUGCAUUCGAUACUGGGAAGCUAGAGUAUGGGAGAGGAUGGUAGAAUUCCAGGUGUAGCGGUGAAAUGCGUAGAGAUCUGGAGGAAUACCGAUGGCGAAGGCAGCCAUCUGGCCUAAUACUGACGCUGAGGUACGAAAGCAUGGGGAGCAAACAGGAUUAGAUACCCGGGUAGUCCCUGUCUCUUAUAA